GACCAAGACUUUAUUUGCAAUUCUCAUUGUAUGAAUUGUAAAAUCAUCAGUAUUUUUUUUUAAAAUUAAUAGACAUACUUGCAGUGUCUUUAAAAAGGGAGGAAUAUUUAAUGAAGUUGCUGGUGACAUUAAAAUAUUAUAAAUCCUUUAUUUACUAAAACUAAUGACGUUUUUCACAUGACAGCACCGGAUGCAUUUAUGCAAAUUUGUAUGUUCUAUAUUGAAUAUUAGGGUACAUUAAAUGUUGGUUUUUAUGUUUCAUAUGCUUGCACUCUUCCAGUUUCUUACUCUGUAAAGUGAUAAUUGCAUGACCUUCUCAAGCUCAUGUGUCUUAUCUUUUAUUAAUACUAUAUUACCAUUAUUAUUAUAUAUUUAUAAUAAUAUUAUAACUAUAAAGACUUGAAAAGCAGUGUAAAUCGUAAAAGAAAAAAUAAUUGAUAAUUGUAAAAAUUAUGUUCCAAGUGAUUCAUGAUUCUACUGCAUUAGGCAAUUUUAGUUGCUCGUUCUAUGUGCAAUAGUGCAUACAUAUGAAAAAUACUAUAAAUCAUCUGGUUGCAAAUUGUUUAACAUUCCACAAUGAUCAAUUUUUUAUCUGAAGUUGACUGGAUAUAAUUUACUUGCAUACGUUACACAACCAUUAGGAGCCACUCCAAUUAAACCUUUUAAUAUACUUUUAUGUUUGUAAGAAUUAUAUUUUAAUUUUUUGAUCUGAAAGUGAUUUUGAAAUAUUGCAUGUAAUUUUAGUACAAUCUAAUGUAAUUCUGUAGUUUUGAAAAUUAUGAAAACAGGCAAGCAAUUUCGAGUUUUGUUUUGUAAGGACACUAAAGUCAUCAAAUUUUAAUACAAAUGUUUGUGAAGAACAAUGAAAAAUGUCAAAAUAAUAUUUAUUAGUAUUAAAUCUAAAUACCAAAUUUGUGUAAGCUGUAUUUAAUCUUAAUUUUAUAAAAGCCAUUCAAAUUUGAUCUUUUAAGCAAUUUAUUUUAAUGGUCCAGCCAUAAAAAUAAUGAUCAAAAACUUUGGAACAUAAAUCCAAAAUAAUGUCAAACAUAGCUAUACUUAGACUACAUUAAAAUUCAAAAAUGUUAUCAAAUUUGAUUGAAUGGUAACCAAAAGGUUGAAGGUUUAAGAAACGGUGUUUGUUUUAAAUCUUCAUUUUCUUUUUGAAGAAAAUGGAUUUCAACUUUAUCCUAAAUAAUAUUUUUGGAUAGUUCAAUAGUGAUAUAUGUUUCUAAUUCAUCAACAUGUUCAAUUAUAGGAAAAGUACACUUAGUAUUUCAUUAACUACCUUAUGCUUAAAAUAUAAUAUAAAUAAUUAAUUCUGUUAUAUUAUAUAAUUUCAUUAAAUAUAUUAUAUAGUCAGGUAGAAACAACACUAAAGCUCAUAUUUGUUGUAAGUAUUUAUGUUAGAGUAGGUAUUAAGAACCAGAUUACCCAACUUCAAAUGAUUAACAGAAACAAGGGAAAAGUAAAAGUAGAUAAGGUACACUAAAUGAGAAGAAAAAUAAUUUAGAAAACAUUAUACAGCACAAUUUAAACAAUAUACAAUUAAAGACUGUUUAUUAUCUUUGUAUAUACAACAUCUUUGUCUAUUUAUUUUUUAUAGAAUAAAAACUACUGGGCCGAUUAAACUGAAACUUUGUAUGAAAGUAGUUUUAGGAAUAACAUGCAGACUAUAUUUUAUGUAAUACAAUUAAUAUAGUGAUUUAUUUAACGUGAACUAGCUAUUUUCAAACAUAAUUUUAUUAAAGAAAAUUACUGGUUCAUGAUAAAUUUACCACUCUGUAUAAUUAAUUUGCAAUUUAAAUAUUAAAUAAGAGACAAAUCACAACACCAUAAACAUAAAAUCACAAAUAUUAAUUUACUUAAUGCAUACUAGCUAUGUUUUUGGAAGAUUUAAAUGAAACAUGCAUUUUAUUUCACUCAAAAAUACUGUGACCAUUUUAUCUUAAGCCAUUAAUAAAAUGGCAACUGCAAAUUUAAUUUUUUUUUUGUUGAGCAAGUCAAUUGGUUUCGUAAAAUAAUAAUUGUACAUUGUUCCCUAAACAAUGUAUUAAUAGACAUACACACAGAACAACUCAACUAUAAAUUUACUAUUUACUAGUUUUGCCCAUAUUUUACAACCAAUGUCAUUUGUUGGAAAUGGGAGAAUAUAAUUUUCUCAGACAUGAAAACACAAGGAAACUGACCAUAAUAGUUCAAAUAUAAAAUGCAAAAAAUAGUUCAAUAUUAUUAAAUAUAAAUUAUGAUGGAUUAAAAAAAUAUAAUA